GUGCUCACUUUAACAACACAUAUCCUAAAAUUGGAACGAUACAGAGAAGAUAAGCAUAACCUCUGCGUGAGGAUGACACGCAAAUUUAUGAAA
rnacentral:snRNA from 1 species